ensembl:lncRNA
CCCUUAUGCUUCCGGCAAAUAUGUCCUCAACAAAGAGACACCAGUACAGUAGCUUGAUGACAUCCAAAGAGCGUAGGAGGCAGUACAACAAAAUCUGGGCUAGAGUGUCAAGGGCACAAAAGAAGGCAGACAACAAAGAAACUAUCAGUUCAGUUGAGAUGGCUAGCAUUGGUGAAAGUGACAGCCUUAAUCUCAACCAGCACAUUGAGGAAGAAAAUCUUGACAUGCUUUCAGAUCCAGCCCUGUCAAGUUCUGAGAGCGAACAAGAUAUUACACCCACGCUCAGGAAAGAACUUUCCCAAUGGGCAUGUAUGUUUCAAGUUAAACAUAAUGCUGUGGAUGCUCUAUUAAACAUCCUUAAAAGACAUGGGCAUGAAGACCUUCCCCAUACUGCAAGGACGCUCUUUGGACACACAAACCAUUAUGAACAUACUACCAAAUAUGGUGUCGAAAGUAUACAGUUUAAUGUGGCAGAUCAGCUCUCAAAACAUCUGAGCAGGUAUCCUGCAGCUGUGACAGACCAUCUGCAGUCACUUGAUCUCUCCCUGAACAUCGAUGGGCUGCCAAUGUUCAAAAGCUCAAAUGUAUCCCUCUGGCCAGUUCUGUGUUCCAUAAACUUGUCUCCAGAAUGUAUUUUCCCCCUGUGCAUAUCCACUGCUGCUUCCAAACCCAAAACACCAAACUUUGCCUCUGACGCUGUUCAGCAAUUGGCAGAACUAAUCCAGGAUGGUCUUACCUGGGGAGGGAGACGCUUAAACAUCCAACUACGAUGUGUUACCUGCGAUGCUCCAGCUAAAGCUAUGGUAAAGUGUAUAAAGCAGUUUUCUGGAUACUAUGGGUGCGAUAAAUGCGACCAGAGGGGAUCUUGGGAAGGUCGGAUGACAUAUCCUGAAACAAAUAACCUUACCAUGAGAACAGAUCAAUCAUUCAGGGAAUGCUGGCAACCUGAACACCAUCAAGAAGAGGAGAUCUCACCCUUCUCUGUCCUCCCGAUUGACAUGAUCAAAUCAUUCCCCAUAGAUUAUAUGCACCAGAGCUGUCUCGGGGGUAAUGAAAAAAAGCUGCUGCUCUUGUGGACAAGAGGGAGAACAGAUUUCCGGAUGUCAUCAGGAGAUGUGACCAGUGUAAGCGAGAGGCUGGUGUCACUAAAGAAGUCCAUUCCAGAUUGCUUUGCCAGGAAGCCAAGGGGCUUGCAGGAAAUAGAUCGCUGGAAAGCAACAGAGUUCAGACAGUUUGCUAUCUACACUGGGAAGAUUGUUCUAAAGGGAAUUCUCCAAGACCAUCUCUAUGCACACUUCUUGAGCUUCAGCACGGCUCUUUGCAUUUUGGUGAAUCCUGAUCUCACAAAGUCACAAGGAGCUUAUGCAAACCAGCUGCUUAAGUAUUUUGUAGAGAGAGGACGGGAGCUGUAUGGAGUGACAUUUUUGGUAUACAAUGUCCAUUCCUUGCUGCACCUUGCAGAAGAUGCCCAAAACUUUGGCAGCCUUGACAGCUGCAGUGCUUUCAAGUUUGAGAGCUAUCUUCAUCAAAUGAAAAAAAUGGUCCGAUCUGGAAAAAAUGUUUUGGCACAAGUUGCAAAUCGUCUUGAGGAAACAUCUAAGUCCAAGACAGAAAUCAAGGAAAACUUGAUGUCAUUCAAGUGCCCAAACAAUGCCUUUGUGUUAGGCCCUGAACAAUUUUGCGAGGUGGUGUCAGAACAAGUGGACAACACAGUGUUAUGCAGGGUGUACACAAAUCUACAGCCAUAUCUGACAACACCGUGUGAUUCACGCCUCUAUGGAACAUACAUGGCUAACAUCAGGCAUUCUCAAAUGCUUUGCUUAGAAAGAAAGUCCCUUCAGAGGAGGGCAUUCACCGUGGAGGAAAACUACGGGAUCAAAAUUGUGGUGUCCAUUCUUCAUACCUUCUAG